UACGGGGGGGGCAAGCGUUGUUCGGAAUUACUGGGCGUAAAGGGCUCGUAGGCGGCCAACUAAGUCAGACGUGAAAUCCCUCGGCUUAACCGGGGAACUGCAUCUGAUACUGGAUGGCUUGAGUUCGGGAGAGGGAUGCGGAAUUCCAGGUGUAGCGGUGAAAUGCGUAGAUAUCUGGAGGAAUACCGGUGGCGAAGGCGGCAUCCUGGACCGACAUUGACGCUGAAAGCCGAAAGCUAGGGGAGCAAACGGG
rnacentral:rRNA from 1 species